UAUAGAGGUCUCAAGCGUUGUUCGGAAUCACUGGGCGUAAAGCGUGCGCAGGCGGUUUUGCAAGACAGAUGUGAAAUCCCCGGGCUUAACCUGGGAACUGCAUUUGUGACUGCAAGGCUAGAGUACGGCAGAGGGGGGUAGAAUUCCACGUGUAGCAGUGAAAUGCGUAGAUAUGUGGAGGAAUACCGAUGGCGAAGGCAGCCCCCUGGGUCGAUACUGACGCUCAUGCACGAAAGCGUGGGGAGCAAACAGG
rnacentral:rRNA from 1 species